rnacentral:rRNA from 1 species
UACGUAGGUGACCAGCGUUGUCCGGAUUUACUGGGCGUAAAGAGCGCGCAGGCGGUCGUUCAAGUCGAGUGUGAAAGCCCCCGGCUCAACUGGGGAGGGUCAUUCGAUACUGAUCGACUCGAAGGCAGGAGAGGGAAGCGGAAUUCCCGGUGUAGUGGUGAAAUGCGUAGAUAUCGGGAGGAACACCAAUGGCGAAGGCAGCUCGCUGGGACGGUACUGACGCUGAGGCGCGAAAGCGUGGGGAGCAAACAGG